UGCAGAGUAGACGCUACAGCGUUAAGUGCCAGAUAGACAGGGAGUUGCUAUUUGGACGAAGGGUUUUGACCCGCGGUUCUAGUGUCGCAUCCCGCUGCU
rnacentral:ncRNA from 2 species